CGGCGGACGGGUGAGUAACGCGUGGGUAACCUGCCUCAUACAGGGGGAUAACAGUUAGAAAUGGCUGCUAAUACCGCAUAAGACCACAGUACUGCAUGGUACAGUGGUAAAAACUCCGGUGGUAUGAGAUGGACCCGCGUCUGAUUAGGUAGUUGGUGAGGUAACGGCCCACCAAGCCGACGAUCAGUAGCCGACCUGAGAGGGUGACCGGCCACAUUGGGACUGAGACACGGUCCAA
rnacentral:rRNA from 1 species